UAUGUUGCAUUCAAUGGUCAUCAUGGUGAUGAAAGUUGAAAGACUAGUUGGCCCCAACCUUUUUUACAUUUUCCAAAACAUGACAUUUAUUGACCCCAUCCUUCUUUAGAACAGGGAACAUAAUCUUCUGGCAACCUAUUCAGGUCAUAAUGUAUCUCACAAUCUCAUAAUGUUCCGCAAGACACUCAGCUACAAUCUGUUAACUCUUAAAAUACCUUGCCAUUUAGUGUAGACAUUAGGAUUUUUAUGAGAUACAAACGAAGAUUCUUUUGCUCGGUCACCUUUUUAACACAGCACCAAAAAAUAGUACACACUCGGGGGGUGGUAAAUAAGCUGAACUGAGUUGAGUAUUGACCAUGUUUGAGCUCUGGUUGAGAAUGUAACAUUGCAAUUAGGGGUUUAUCUUGAAAGUGCCUGAUUACAAUCAACUAACUAUUUCACAUGUGAUUUAUCAAAAUAUCAUUGGCUUAAAGACUGGAUUAACACCAGAUUUGGGAUGUAAAACCUUGCAGUCUUUUUGACUAGUGUUUUUUAUGUAGAGAUCACUGUAGAUGUAUUGUUGUUCUUUUAUUGCUGUAUAUAAUUUCAAAUUUACCUAGUCAAGCUUUGCUGAGCCGAACCUCCUCUUGCUGAAUAUCAGGUCAACUGUGAGGGAAGUCAGAUAUUCGGGUUGUGCUAGGCUUGAACCACAAAACAAGCCACGACAAGCCUUUUGUUUUGGAUCACUGCAAUUAUGGAUUUGUUAUCUGAUGCUGGAUCUUUGUUGUUGUUGCUUAAAGCACCAAAGACUUGUACAAAUGUGCUGCUUCUCAAUCUUUAAGAAGCUAUGCCUAACCAUUUUGUUAUCGUCAUCAUCCUCAAUUCGAAAAAGUUGUACUUUGAACUAUGUACUGUGUAAAUUGUAUUGCCUAAUAUGUGUAUUUGAAUUUGAAUAUCAGACUGGGGUCUGAAAUAAUUUACAAUGACUUAAUUGUUUAUGACAGAUCAGUCUAUUUGCCUA